CCUACGGGUGGCAGCAGUGGGGAAUAUUGCACAAUGGAGGGAACUCUGAUGCAGCGACGCCGCGUGAGUGAAGAAGUAAUUCGUUAUGUAAAGCUCUAUCAGCAGGGAAGAAAGUGACGGUACCUGAACAAGAAGCUCCGGCUAAAUACGUGCCAGCAGCCGCGGUUAUACGGAGGGAGCAAGCGUUAUCCGGAUUUACUGGGCGUAAAGGGCGAGUAGGUGGUAGAGCAAGUCCGGAGUGAAAACCCAAAGCUCAACUUUGGGACUGCUUUAGAAACUGAGCAACUGGAGUGUGUGAGAGGCUAGUGGAAUUCCUGGUGUAGCGGUGAAAUGCGUAGAUAUCAGGAGGAACACCAGUGGCGAAGGCGGCUUGCUGG
rnacentral:rRNA from 1 species